GAGCCUGCUUCGGAUUCUGUGUCUCCCUCUCUCUCUGCCCCUCCCCCGCUCACACUCUGUCUCUCUUUCUCUCUCAAAACAUAAAUAAGCAUUAAAAAAAAAUUAAAGUUCAGGUCAGGCCAUAAAAGUUCCUCCCAUUUUCAGUUGGAUGGAAAGCUACGGUUGGAGAGAGAGUUUUAGUCAGAACGCUUCCAUGUGUCUGCGUGAACUUCUCCGAGCCUGGAACCGUUUCCAGUAAGAAGUAGGUGACAGGCUCUCCAAAUAAAGAGUAACCUUUUGAAAGCACUUCAGUCCAGCGGCGGGGGCUUUUUAUAAUCCUCACUUGCAUUUUGAGAGUGGGAAGGCCGAGCUGGGUUCGGGCUCAGCUUCUUCCCCCACCGCCUUCCCCCCCACACACUUUGAUCUGUGAAGGAUGUCUAAUCCUUAGCCAAGUCUGUUGGAACUUUAUCCAGAGCAGGAAAAAGGGAAAUAUUUUUCCUUUCUUGGGUGGAUUUGUAUUUCUAUAAACCCUUAGCAAUGAAAAUGGAGCCAAGUGACAGGCCCGUGCGUCUGAGAGGCAAGUUGUUGAGUCAGUGACAGAAGGGGAAGGGGCAGUGCAUCUUUCUGCCCCCGGCCAGCUUUGGUUUGGGUUAGACCCUGGCCGACCUUCUAAGGGUCACUGAGGACAGGAUAGUGUUAAGUCCACAUGAGCAUUUUCCGGGGGCCGUUUCUGCCGAGCCAGAAGCCAACCAGUUAACUUCAGAUCAUAACUCUGGUGGGAUAUUCGUUACGUAUGUAGUGGGUUCAUUUGCUUCGCGUUUGUUGUUGCUGCUACGAGAGUAGUGUUGUGGAGGGCCUUAGCUGGCCUCUGUGAGUCACUUCAACUCUGGAAGCUUUACCUUCUCACAUUAUUGAUUUACUUGCACGAAUUUGUUGGCACUCAUUGGACCAGCCCUUGGUACUUCUUAUGGGUGGCGAGUUUUUAAAAUGUGCUGACGUUGGGGCGCCUGGGUAGCUCAUUCGGUCGAGCAUCCAACUCUUGGUUCUGGCUCAAGUCAUGAUCUCACGCUUUGUGAGAUAGAGCCUUGCAUCAGGCUCUGUGCUGACAGCAGGGAGCCUGCUUGGGAUUCUCUCUCUCCCUUUCUCCCUGCCCCUUGCCAGCUUACACUCAUGCGUGCGUGUGAACUCUCUCUCUCUCUCUCUCUCUCUCAAAAUAAAUAAAUAAACUUUACAACAAAUAAUAAAAUAAAAUGUGCUUGCCAUUGGUACGAAAUGCUUUCCUGUCAGAAAACCACCUCAUCUAAGGUUCAAGUAGUGCCUCAUAGUUCUAUGUUUCUAGGAUGAACGGUGGUUUAUUUUUAGACAUUCAAGAGAAAUCUUGUAUAUAAUCUGAAGGUAAGAGACCUUGUUUUGGUGUCAUUGCAAUUUGUGUGUUAUCUGGGCUAAUGUGGGACUGACGGAGACUUUGAGACCAGAAAGGGUGAAGAACUUUGAUAUAAUCAUUUCUGUUGCUAGUGUUCACUCUUUUAGAUACAAAGGCCUUCCUGGUAGGCUCCUGAACUUACUGCACCUUCCCUGGAAUCAUUUCUCGUCCGUGUUAAUAAAUGCCGCCCCAGCCAGGUUCACCUGUUAUCCUGGAUGUUUAGUGCGGCUCCCAGGAAUAUUUAUGUGGUGUCUGUUGGAACCUCACACUUAAAGGUGGAAGUCUCAUGAAGUUUCAGCCUGGUAUCUUGUCCCAGUGCUGUGACGAACGCCCGGGGAAGGCAACUCUGGUGAUUCAGAGACCCUGAAGCUUUUCAGCAGGUGGGGAGUCUAGAUAGAGGAGCGGCCUGAGUGGGGAGGGGAUGGGGCUCUUACUCCACUGGCGGUGAUGGAGAUAGGGUGCUGUAGGAAAGGGGACUUGAGCGAGCCAAGCGUGAGGCAGUGGUAAGAGAGUAUGGUACCAAGGAUUGGAUGUGUGCGAAUAAAAAACCAAAAAAGGUAAACAGACAUGAAGAAAAGGAAGUAGGAAUUGUAAUGUGAAGGAAGUGACAAAACUCAGGUGGCGCUUUGAAAAGAAAUUGUGUUGGCAGUUUUCCCUCGGUUGAACUCUGGUCGAAUGCUCUGGAAAGGGGCGCUGUGCUCUUAGGUCACAACUCUUCUGAUCUAGAAGAGACCUGAGUCAUUACCCACCAGGGAGGGGCGGGAUGCAGCUCUUCUCGGCCUAGCACGCCUGAGGUAUUCAGUCACUUCCGUGUGUCCCUCAACCAACUAAGCAAACAAAGCUUUAUGUGAUUAGUAAGCAGACAUUACUAUGAGGACAGUCAUCCUCUCUUAGGAACUGGGCUAAACAAGGAGAAGCCGAGCUUGUUCACUCCAGGUGGAGCGUCUUCCAUAAAAGGAAUAUGAAAGGUGUCCGUCAUCUGUGCCCAGUGGGGCGGGUCCCCCUUGGCUUGGCUUCCACUACUCAUCAGGAGAGUCUGAGGACUUCACAGGUGAGAAUCGUUGUGUGAGUCAUAGAAGGAAUCAAGCGCGUGACCUUUGUUUUUCCUCUUGCCUGUAACUGUCACCACCGCCGGCCACCACCUUGGAGGACGCUGGGAGGAAGUUGAAGCCAAAUGUUGACACUGAAUUUGUCUAGUGCAGCCUGAGAGCAGGCCAUGACGACUCACUGGCGAUAGGUCCUGAGUCGCACCUCUAGUUCAAGGGCAUCUCCAUGACCCCAGUUGGCCUGCUUCUGUUUGGCUUAGAGAGUGUACUCUUACGGAUAAGACUUUGUAAACUGUCCCCAAAGCCUCACGGCACAGAAGGGCAUGUGGGCGGUUUUCUUUUUUCUUUUUUUGAAGAAGUCUCAGCUUUCAGAGUCAAAACUGGUCUUGGGAAUGCAACAAAUGGCUGGAGACGGCAAUGUCUUUACGUUGCUAAAUCGCCCAGAACUCAGUAGAUGCCUACAAUUUGAAGAAUUGAAGGGCUGUAUAGUGCAAAUGAAAAUACAGUUCUACAAGAAGUUCAUAAUUUCUGAUGGUGUGAGUUUUUGCAGCUGCCUUUGGAAUGCGUGCCUUAGGAUGCAUCCGGCUAUUAAGCGGUCCUAUCGUGGACUCAUUUCCAAGAGGAACUAAUUGAGCCAAAAGCAGACUCUGCUCACAGGAAGAAAGCAGCAUCCCUGCAGUUUAGGGGACCAGUCUGAGUCCCAGAACUCUCUACAAGUACGUGUGGCCGAGUGCUGGACAGUAUCUGUAGGCAUCCCAGCUGACUUCCAGUGACCCAGCGGGAAGAUUCCUGCCCAGUCUCCGGGUACCCGAGGGGGAAAACGGUUGAUGUGGCAGCCUUUUAAUGCCGGAAAUCUUGAGCCGGAGUAAUUAAGGACGGUUUUUCAUAACUUUAACGGGCACAAGGAGACUGGGCAGUGGCCUAAAACAGCUUCGGUGAAUGCAGUGUUCUGUUCUUCGGGCCAAAGUUCUGCUUUUUCAGGAAGACUGACUGCAUUGUGUGCCGCACGUGAACAGACCAUCUCCAACCGUAGAGAAAGCACUAGCAUUCGAAACGCAUUCCCCUUCGGUGUGCGGCCGGCAUGCUUUCGCCUCGUUUUCUUACUGACUCAAACAUAAAAUAAAUAAAUAAGUAACCCCAGGACCAUUUAAAUCUCGAGGGACCGCUUUCCCUCUGAAUUCAUCUGUGUUCUUGGUCAGUUGAUGUUUCUAAUUAGAAUGUAGCUCUAAGUGGACACUGACGCACAGAAAUGUCAGUCUCAUAAUUUGUAACGACUACAGAGAAUCCCGUCUUACUGGUGUGUCGGAGUUUUUAAUCAUUUCCCCAGUGUUGGACUUUUGAGAGGGUUACCAGGUUUUCACUGUUUUAUAAAUAGUGUUGCUAUGAGCAAUCAUUGUAUAAUUUUUGUCAGAGAGAAAGGCCUACUUCCUGGAAGCAAGUUCCUGAAAAUGGAAAUAUAACAGGUCACGUGUGUAUUUAUCCUUACUUCACCACUGGCACAUUUUCUGUAAAUGUAGCUUUUUUUUUUUUUUCCCCAGCUUCCACCAGCUUUGGGAUUUAUCUUUUUUACUGGCUUUUGCUAGUGAUGACAGACGUGUCAUAGAUCUAACAUUUUUUCAUUUGAAGUUUUCAAAUUUCUGGUGACGCGGUAUUUUGCAGGUAAAUCAUUUACGGUCUAAUCCUGGCGUACGGCUUUACUGUAGAGAAUGUGGGUACGAUCACAUAUUCGCAUGAAUUCUUUAUAUAGUUGGAAAAUUAAGCUUUUCAAAAAAAUCUCAUCAGUAUGUCAUAGUGUCAAGAACUUACCGGAUGCCGGACACAACAUUUAACACUUUCUGUGUUAUCUAAUUUAAUCAUCACGAUGUCCUUGCCUCGGGACAGUAUUAUGUGGUGGUUAAGAGUGAAGUCAGAUAGUCCUGGGUCCAAAUUUCCGCUUUGCCACUUCCUCCUUGUUGGUGAAUACCUAACCGCUCUGAGCCUCCCUCGCCACCUCUGUAUAUAAUGAGGACAGGAUUGUAGGUACGUCAUAGUGUUGUCAUGAGGACUAAGUGACACGAUACAAUGACAGCCUAAGUGCAUAAUAAGUGCUCGAUAAAUGUUAGCUGCUACUGCGAUCACCAUUUUUUCUUCUGUGGUUGCUGUAUGUCAUUUACCUUGACGUAUAUAACAGCAUGCUGGUAACGUGGAGUCCUGGAUAAUCGAUGUGAUGGGUCUUCUGAGACCGUGUUCUCUGCUCUUGGAGGUCUUUUGGAGUCCUGCAAAUCAGUAUUCUUCUGUCCUUCUCGUUGUCCUUCUAACAUUUCAAAACUUUCCUCAGGGGGCCCUAACAUACAGGACUACAGUUCCUUUUAUGCACAUGUGACUUUCUCAGAUGCUGGGACCCUCCAUAUGAAAGGCCUUGACUUAGACUCCGGUAUCCCCUGUGUCUCCUCACACACAGUAAGAUCUCCCUAUUUAGAUACUGAGUGGCUGUUGCUUUUUCUAAUGUUUAUUUAUUUUUUGUGAGACAGGGACUAUACAUGAACGGGGGACAGGCAGAGAGAGAGAGAGAGGGAGAGACACAAAUCCAAAGCAGGCUCCAGGUUCCGAGCUGUCAGCAUAGAGCCCGACGCGGGGCUCGAACUCACGAACUGCGAGAUCAUGACCUGAGCCGAAGCCGGACGCUUAACUGACUGAGCCACGCAGGCGCGCUGGCUAAUAUUUUAGCUUGAAAAUCAAGUUUGUGUGCAAGAAACUUGAGAUGACCAGCUUCUGUUUUAGUAGAUAACACAUAUUAUGAACCACUUUUGUAUUUGUGAUCAUGUUUUUUGAGAGGAAAAGGCUGUUUUCCUCAUUUUCUGAAUCUAACGACAGGGCACAUUCUUUCUGUCCUAAGAAUCCCGGCACCUCGCAGGAGCCUGUUGGAGGGCGGGGACCUGCGGGAGAUUGUGAACGGUUUAGCUUGGCUGCUCGGUUUUCUGCAGCCUCGAGUGGAGUUUUCACACCUGGGAGGCUUCUCCUCGCCUGCAGCUUUCAUGCCCCCCCUGCGGCUGGCAGUGCUGCUGGGGGUAGGGCCUCCACGAAACCGGUUACCUGUCUCGGUAGGAUACUGGGAAUCUGGGGUAGGGGGCACUAAAGCUGUCAGUUUAAUAAAAAUUCAUAACGGG